AAUUAUUAAAUAAUUAUAUCUUUAUAUUCACGAAACGGUGUGAGCUAAGUACGCAUUUUAAUUAGAUUCUACUUAUUACGUAGCAUAGUAAUAAUAUAUGGAUGCUUAGGGGUGAUAGGCCUUUCAAACAUGGUGAUAACUUGUUAUGUAAUAAAUGUAUUAAGUACUAAGACAUACUGUGAAAGUUAAGCUUGACAGUUUCUAUUAAUGCAAUUUCUACUCUCCAUUAGUCUAGACGCUUAUUGUCUCGUAGUAUAGUAUAAAUCAUGUGUUUUUAUAUGACUCAUUACAUUUUAUUUACUUGUUGGAAAAUAUAUUUUGUAAUUAUAAGUAAUACUAUAUAAAUACGCCGUCUGAACUCGGCAACAGGUUAAUCAACUGUUUAUCAAAAACAUAACUAGGCGAAAUUAUGCUUAGCUAUUUCUGCUCCAUGGAAUAUCUAAAUAGCCGCAGUACUCUGACUGUGCAAAGGUAGCAUAAUCAGUUGGCUUUUAAUUAAGGUCUAGUAUGAAUGAAACCAUGAUUAGCCUCUAUCUCCGUGUAAACUGUAAAAUUAGUUAGUAAGUGCAAAUACUUACAGGUCUAAAAAAGACGAGAAGACCCUAGAAACUUGUGGACGUAUUUUGUUGGGGCGACAGAACAACAAGAAACUUGUUUUAAAUAACUUGCCGCGUGUAGCUGAUAGAUAAAGUUACUCUAGGGAUAACAGCAUAAUUUUAGUAGUUUGUGACCUCGAUGUUGGACUAGGUAAGCCCCUCUUUAGAAGAGAGGAUCUCUGCUCUGUUCGAGCUAUUAUACCUACAUGAUCUGAGUUCAGACCGG
rnacentral:rRNA from 1 species